rnacentral:tRNA from 1 species
GCGGUGGUGGCGGAAUUGGUAGACGCGCUAGCUUCAGGUGCUAGUGUCCGAAAGGACGUGGGGGUUCGAGUCCCCCCCUCCGCACCA